UAGGGAAUAUUGGACAAUGGGGGCAACCCUGAUCCAGCCAUGCCGCGUGAGUGAAGAAGGCCCUCGGGUUGUAAAGCUCUUUUGUCCGGAAAGAAAAGCAUUCGGUGAAUACCCGGAUGUUCUGACGGUACCGGAAGAAUAAGCACCGGCUAACUUCGUGCCAGCAGCCGCGGUAAUACGAAGGGUGCAAGCGUUACUCGGAAUUACCGGGCGUAAAGCGUGCGUAGGUGGUUGUUUAAGUCUGAUGUGAAAGCCCUGGGCUCAACCUGGGAAUGGCAUUGGAAACUGGUCAGCUAGAGUGCUGUAGAGGGUAGUGGAAUUCCCGGUGUAGCAGUGAAAUGCGUAGAGAUCGGGAGGAACAUCUGUGGCGAAGGCGACUGCCUGGACCAGCACUGACACUGAGGCACGAAAGCGUGGG
rnacentral:rRNA from 1 species